rnacentral:rRNA from 1 species
GACGAACGCUGGCGGCGUGCUUAACACAUGCAAGUCGAACGGGGAUAUUCGAGCGGAAGGCUUCGGCCGGAAGGUUGGAUAUUCGAGUGGCGGACGGGUGAGUAACGCGUGAGCAAUCUGUCCCAGACAGGGGAAUAACACUUGGAAACAGGUGCUAAUACCGCAUGAGACCACGAAGUCGCAUGGCUUUGGGGUAAAAGGAGGAAUCCGGUUUGGGGUGAGCUCGCGUCCGAUUAGCCAGUUGGCGGGGUAACGGCCCACCAAAGCGACGAUCGGUAGCCGACCUGAGAGGGUGAUCGGCCACAUUGGAACUGAGAGACGGUCCAA